UGCAGCUGUAGCUGUAAAUCAGGGGAAUCAGCAGGAGACCAUUUCUCCCUUCAGUUCUACCCUCUGCUUUGCUCAAAAUUCAUCCUUUGUUGAGCAAGCCUUUGCUUGGAAGACUGUGUGCAGUUUCUCCUGCUCUUGGUGGAAGCAAGAAACAACUGAAGAAGAAUAAUUGAACUGACCACGGAGGGUCCUUGAUGUUCCCCAGUUUCUCAGCAGCAUCCGGGGAAGGAGGCACAUGGGGAAUGGAAAGUUAAGGUGCUGAAGUUAAGCACUGUGAAACUUUAACAGUGGAUCAAGCUGGAGAAGUGGCCACUGGCAUCUUGUAACUCUUCAAUGACUGUGCAUUAAAAGAAAAUCGAAGAAACUAGGACAAUUUGGUUAAAAAAGAACGUUGUGUGAGUUUAAGGCUGCUCAAGGGCAACCUUAAUUUAUGUGCCAAUAAGUUACACAAAUAUUUUCUCUACUAUUCAAUUAAGAACAAGUAGUUUCCUUGGCAACGGCCACAUUACAUGGAACUUACCCGAGCCCUGAGUUCCAGCAGAGUACUUUCCCUAAGAAAGGAACAUACUCAUCUAUCAUGUAAAUGUCUAAUUUGUACACGGUUUUGAGAGAGAAGGGAGAAAAUGGAAUUUCCGUCAAAUUAACACAGCCCUUCUCUUGUACUGGAGUCAGAGACAUGCUCUUUUCUGUAGUUUUCUCCUGCUUUUCAUUUCUCUUUCAAUGUUAACUUGCCUAUGAAAAUUGUGAAAGAGUAGGAUUGUGAAGUGGAUAUAUUAAAAGCUGCGAAAGGAGGGCAGGCUGUUAGCCAAAAGGAUGGAUUGGGGGGUGGCGGUGUCUGCUUAAAAAACAGGAAGGUGGCAGUCUUCUCCAUUCAGCAUUGCUGCUGAAAAUGUGCUCUGUAGUUCAGUUAUGAUGACUGUGAUUAGUCCUUUUGUGGGGAAAAAAAAAAAAAAAGAUCCCAGCCUGAUUAUGCUUCAAGUUGCUGCUUCCUUUUAAACUAUCAGCUUUCUCAGUGAUACAGUUACUGUGGCCCAUAAACGUUGCCAAGUUUCUGGCUUCUUGUGUAUGCAGGUCCCUUCAGAGAUGUACCUCCAGAAUGGCUGUCACCAUGCUAAGAGACCUGUUCUGUUCCUGAGGCAUUCCCCCAAAACAAACUGAAAAGCUGCCAUUGGAUCCAAGAGUAAACAUCAUCCCUGGGUGUGGAAACACCCAGCUCUAUAGAAAGGGGGAAAAAAAGCCUGCUCCACCUUCCCCUUGGAAGCAAUCCAUUGUUUCCCUUCCAUAGACUCCAACCCUAUUUUCAGCUGAGGCUGUGAUGGGCUUCCCCAGCAAAGUCCGUGCUUUGCUCUCCCACUCUCAUGACCCAGCCAUGGAAAAUGGAUUUGACAUUGUCAGAUUUAAUCUCCCGUGGAAUGUUUCUGCAAAGCUGGAAUAAAAUUUUUCCCUCUGCUUUUAUCCUGUGGCUUACAUUCAAUCCAUAAGUCAAUUUUAGGGCUUUAGGAUGUUGUUACCCCGUUCCUGUGUCCAUCAGCAGUAUUAAACUGGAAUUCAUUAUUUUGUUAGUGAGAAUAUUCCUAUAAUGGCAGGAUGCUGCACUCUGUGCCUAUUCCACUUUCCUCCCAUCUGUCUAUUUGCUUUAGUUCAAUUAAUAUGAAAAUGAAAGGUCUCUGGUUUAAUCACAUCUUUCAUCCUUUAUACACACAAGCACAUUUAGGAUUAUGUAACAGGCUUCUUAUUGUAGCUCUCCUAUCCUACUGAAACAGUCAUUCUGUGUAGCCUUGCAAAAUCAUAGUAAACAAUUAGAUUAAUUAUUUUCUGUUUUACAUGUCUCUAAGGUACCAAACCCCAGAGAGGAUAUGUAAUUAACACUGCUCCAAUUAUAGGUCGGCAUGAAAGUGUGAUUGUGAUGAAGCACACACUUCUCACUUGGUAAAAUGUACAGGGCAGGCUAUUCUGUGGCUAAUGUAAGAUUUAUGGAGCCUGUCAUAAUUUAUUUUCUCUAAGUGCCUGAGCAUUGUAUAUGGUGCAAUAAAUACAUUCUCAUCACGAUUGACCUUAUCUAGUUUUGCUCCCCUCCUCCCAGCAUUUAGCCACACAUGUCCUUCAGCCAGCCAUCUCCCACUGAAUUACAUGUCAUAACAUGAAUUUCUCUGGGUAGUGGCUGUUUGCAGGCAGGGAUAUGAAAAGUCACAGCAAAGGCACCUCAUCUGUGAACUGCCAGAGUAGGGGUGAG